AAUGAACGCUGGCGGCAUGGAUUAGGCAUGCAAGUCGAACGGGGCGCCCUCGGGCGCCCAGUGGCGAAAGGGUGAGUAACACGUGAGCAACCUGCCCCCGAGUCCGGAAUAAGCGGUGGAAACGCCGUCUAAUGCCGGAUGCGGAGGGGCGCCUCCUGGCGCCCCCUCCAAAGAUUCAUCGCUCGGGGAUGGGCUCGCGGCCCAUUAGCUAGUUGGCGGGGUAACGGCCCACCAAGGCUCCGACGGGUAGGUGGUCUGAGAGGAUGGUCACCCACACUGGGACUGAGACACUGCCCAGACUCCUACGGGAGGCUGCAGUCGAGAAUCUUCCGCAAUGGGCGCAAGCCUGACGGAGCGAUGCCGCGUGAGGGAAGAAUGCCUUCGGGUUGUAAACCUCUGUCACCCGGGACGAACGAACUGACGGUACCGGGGGAGGAAGUCACGGCUAACUACGUGCCAGCAGCCGCGGUAAGCACGAGAGUA
rnacentral:rRNA from 1 species